UACGUAGGGACCAAGCGUUGUCCGGAAUCAUUGGGCGUAAAGAGCGUGUAGGCGGCUUGUUAAGUCUUGCGUGAAAUCUCGGGCUCAACCCCGAGCGGUCGUGAGAAACUGGCAGGCUAGAGUGCGGGAGAGGAGAGUGGAAUUCCUGGUGUAGCGGUGAAAUGCGCAGAUAUCAGGAGGAACACCGAUGGCGAAGGCAGGUCUCUGGGCAUUAACUGACGCUGAGGAGCGAAAGCAUGGGGAGCGAACAGG
rnacentral:rRNA from 1 species